GAUGAAGAACGCAGCGAAAUGCGAUACGUAAUGUGAAUUGCAGAAUUCAGUGAAUCAUCGAAUUUUUGAACGCAUAUUGCGCUCUCUGGUAUUCCGGAGAGCAUGCUUGUUUGAGUAUCAGUAAACACCUCAACUUCCAUAUCUUUUUUUGAAAUGGGAGUUGGACUUGAGUGAUCCCAACGCUUUUCCUCACCGAAAAGUGGCGGGUUACUUGAAAUGCAGGUGCAGCUGGACUUUUCUCUGAGCUAUAAGCAUAUCUAUUUAGUCUGCCUAAAAAACAGAUUAUUACCUUUGCUGCAGCUAACAUAAAGGAGAUUAGUUCUUGUGCUGACUGAUGCAGGAUUCACAAAGACAGCUUCGGCCGACUUUGUAAACUCGAUCUCAAAUCAAGUAAGACUACCCGCUGAACUUAAGCAUAUCAAUAAGCGGAGGA
rnacentral:misc_RNA from 1 species